rnacentral:lncRNA from 1 species
CAUGUAACUGGCUUCCUGCACUCAGUGCAAGGGUUUCAAGGUUCAUGUCAUUACCCCUGGCAUCUGUAGCUUGCUGCCUUUGCUACACAGUGCAUCUGAGCACACAAUGUUUUCACAGUGAAGAAGUGAUCAAGCUUCGUCUCACUAAUAAUGGGAUAAACCAACAUCCUGAGCCCUCCAGCUGGGUUGUGCUAAGAAAGACACAAUGUUACUCCUGUACUGUUCUUGCUCAAAUGCAUAACCUGUCAAAAAGCAUGAGGAAAUGAUCAGACAAACCCAAGACAGGAGCAUUCUAUUAACCAAGUGACCGCUUCUCUAUAAAUAAGAAAAUGCCAUGGAAGACAAACACAGAAGAGGGAACUGUUCUGGACUGAAAACAAACAAGUCAAAAUAAUAAUAAUAAAGAAAAGGCCUUAAAGCCAUGUGGCAUAAGAGGCACUCAAAGGCAGUGUGAACGAACUUACAUGGAAUAGACUCUGUUCCCCAGGGCAGAAAGAAGGAAAUGCUCUUUGGAAAGCAGUCUUGUAUCAGUGCUAAUCUUCUGGAUUUCAAGAAAUGUGGUUGUGUAAGAGAAUAUAAGAUAACAUGUUUUUUUAUUUUUAGAAAGUUAGUGCUUCGGCAUUUAGAGAGAUCUGUAAACUAUUUUCAAGAAUGGAAAAGAAAGGAAGGGAGAUUAGAAAGAUUAAAAAAGAAAUGGUCAAGUUCCAUGUAGAAGGAGCAGUUCAUUCUUGCAACUCCCAAAGCAAAACAGAAGGGGAAAAAACAAAACAAAACAAAACAAAAAAAAAACAAUGUUCUCUGGAGACGAUUGCAGUUGUGGACAUUUUAAGAUUUAUUUAAACAUU